ACUCUUGGAGUAACUUCAACUGAUUCGUGAAAGCUCUUGAAGACUCAACUUGAGAUCCAGAGACCGUUUGAGCUGAGUUCGAGCUUCGGUUGGACUGUUUUGAACUUAGUGAUAGAGCCAUCUACAGGAGAGGCUAGGGAUCGAGGCAAGGGAGUCGCAUCUAGCUAGAC